rnacentral:rRNA from 1 species
GAUGAACGCUGGCGGCGUGCCUAAUACAUGCAAGUCGAGCGAACAGACGAGGAGCUUGCUCCUCUGACGUUAGCGGCGGACGGGUGAGUAACACGUGGAUAACCUACCUAUAAGACUGGGAUAACUUCGGGAAACCGGAGCUAAUACCGGAUAAUAUAUUGAACCGCAUGGUUCAAUAGUGAAAGACGGUUUUGCUGUCACUUAUAGAUGGAUCCGCGCCGCAUUAGCUAGUUGGUAAGGUAACGGCUUACCAAGGCGACGAUGCGUAGCCGACCUGAGAGGGUGAUCGGCCACACUGGAACUGAGAGACGGUCCAGACUCCGACGGGAGGCAGCAGUAGGGAAUCUUCCGAGAUGGGCGAAAGCCUGACGGAGCAACGCCGCGUGAGUGAUGAAGGUCUUCGGAUCGUAAAACUCUGUUAUUAGUGAAGAACAAAUGUGUAAGUAACUAUGCACGUCUUGACGGUACCUAAUCAGAAAGCCACGGCUAACUACGUG